rnacentral:rRNA from 1 species
CCUACGGGCGACAGCAGUGAGGAAUAUUGGUCAAUGGUCGGGAGACUGAACCAGCCAAGCCGCGUGAGGGAGGAAGGUACAGAGUAUCGUAAACCUCUUUUGUCAGGGAACAAAGACUGGGACGCGUCCACGGAUGAGUGUACCUGAAGAAAAAGCAUCGGCUAACUCCGUGCCAGCAGCCGCGGUAAUACGGAGGAUGCGAGCGUUAUCCGGAUUUAUUGGGUUUAAAGGGUGCGCAGGCGGUCUGUUAAGUCAGCGGUCAAAGCCCGGGGCUCAACCCCGGCCCGGCCGUGGAAACUGGCAGUCUCGAGUUGGAGAGAGGUAGGCGGAAUGCGCGGUGUAGCGGUGAAAUGCAUAGAUAUCGCGCAGAACUCCGAUUGCGAAGGCAGCAUGCCGGCUCCACACUGACGCUGAGGCACGAAAGCGUGGGGAUCGAACAGGAUUAGAUACCCCAGUAGUC